rnacentral:rRNA from 1 species
UCUUAUGUUUUAGUGGACGAGGUAACCGGGCAGAAGAGGAGGAGGUAACAAGGAGAAGGCGACGAGAGGUACGGGGAUCCGUCGCGAGGGUAAGUACCGGCCGCUGGGCAGAAGAGGAGGCGACGAGAGGUACGGGAUCUGCCGCGAGGGUAAGUACCGGCCACUCGUCUUCGAAGUCGGAGGCAGCGCGGGGUUCUACCAACUACGUAGUAUACUCCUCCACAUCAUACGUACUACCAAAGUUCUUUCCUCCGGAGCUAACCAUGAACUCUGGCAGUUCAACUCGUUAAUGUAACCAGACCACCGUGGCGUUCAAUGUUAGCUUCGGGAUGAGCUCCGUCAGAGGGCAAUAAGUACGGGGUGAGGUGACCAUUGUACCUCAGAAGAGUAAACAUUACCGUAUCUAUAUCCUUGCUCGUUAAGUCGAAACGAUAUUCUUUCGCUGCCUGUUUUCUCUUGUCCUAUAACAACAACUCUCGAUCGAGACCAGUGUACUAGUAGAUAGAUAUAUCAAAAGUUGUUUUCUCUUGACCUAAUAAAAAUGACUCCCGAUCGAGACCGGCGUACCAGUAGGUACAUAUAUCAAAAGUUGUUAUUUGCACAGUACUAACCAUGUAGUAUUAAUCGUUAGAAUCAAAGAAGACUAGAGUAUUAAACUUCUACUUGGCUUCUCCCCUUACACAUUAUACAAAGCUUAGACAGUGUGAUUUACACAUAAACACCAUAACUACAUGUCAAUAAUUCUUUCAAUGUAAAAGGUCGAUAACACGAUG